AGCACAAAAGGAAACGCUGUUCCGGUUAGAUCGGUUGUCUUUGUGGCGCAUCUUGGAGCGGUUGGAGUUGGAGUUGUGUCUUGUGCGCCUCUCUUGCACGGCUCUUCGAUGCACGUGUGAGGCAGUAAUAAUUGGAGCAAGGACACGCACCGUACGAAGAGUAAGCGUGACGUGCAGCAUUCAAAGAGCAGAGCACCUUCACAUUGCAUCACGGAAAUCGUGUGGUGGAGGUUUUUCAAUGUUUUGGAAUAUCUAGCACGUGAAUGCGAACGAAUGGCAUGAAGAUGAUGUGCGAUGAGUGUGUGUGUUUUGAGUCUUUCAAAUGGCUGUGUGAAUCAUCAAAAGGUGAGAUUCGGCGAUUGUUGUGGCAGCAAAUUGCGAUACCCGUCCAAAAUUAGAAACCGCAGUAAGAACAGGCUUCAACAGCGAUUAAAAUGGCAAUAAAAUCCAAUUGAAACAAGAGGCAACCUUUCUGUUCUACCGCUCAUAAAAUUAAUUACCCAACUCUGUGUCAACACUCUGUUGUGCGAUUAGUUCGCUUGCUUGUUUUGCUAGUCUGGACCAUUAAAACAACGAUACUCCCCGACGGGAUUAAUGGUCAACUUUACCGUCUGAUAUUUUAAUUCCGGAGCAUGUAAAGCAUUAGGUGUUUGUGUGUUUGCGUUAAUUAUUGUACGGAACGAAACAAUAACAAACCAACGACAGGCUGUUUUUCUUUCCUUUUUUGCCAUUUGCUUCCAAUUAGAGUGCACAACAACAAACGCCUCUGCUCGACUGAAGGUGCAUGCUGGUAGGCUCCUGCUGUUUGUGCCACCAUGUGGAAGUGAGUAGCUCUUGGCAUGGCUGCCGUUGGUUCGAAGCAAGCUUACGGAGUGUUAUCCGAAAGGAAACACUCAAUUUUUCCCCCAAGAAGAUGAACCCUCCGCCACAAUACCGACCGAGCGCAACUGCAUUCUGGCUGGUUGCUCCAGCGAGUAGCCCGGACACCAAGCAUGGAGCAUCCAUUGGACGUGGAUGUGGAAAUCGAUUCAAUUUGCAAUGCGAGCAGCAUCGAACAACAGGACGGUAGCGUAUAACCGGCAAACGAAUACGAUGUUGGUUGGUGCGCGAGGGCUUAUGAAGUGUGCUCUGACCAACGAUGGCUUCUUCAUCGUCUUCGGCAAAAUAAAAAACCUCCCAACAAUCAUGA